UGCGUAGGCGGGCUAAUAAGUCAGUGGUGAAAUCUCUCGGCUCAACCGGGAAACUGCCAUUGAUACUGUUAGUCUUGAGUUCGGUUGAGGUAGGCGGAAUGUGUAAUGUAGCGGUGAAAUGCUUAGAUAUUACACAGAACACCAGUUGCGUAGGCAGCUUACUAGACCGACACUGACGCUGAGGCACGAAAGCGUGGGGAGCGAACAGGAUUAGAUACCCUGGUAGUCC
rnacentral:rRNA from 1 species